UGGCAGUCUUUACGAAGAACAGCGUUGUUGCCGUGUGCUUGGGGGCUCUCAUGCUCAUGACCACCCUUCUCUCCUCGGAAGGUUCAGAGCUUGUUGGAUGUUUGGAGCCCCACCAGAACUGCUUCCCAGAUGACUGCCAGAGGACAUGCGCGGACAAUAUUAUUGGAAAAAAUGUGACAGGUUCCUGCGAACCGGAGCAUGGCCCGCUAAAACCGUAUCCCGCGCUAGUGUGUUGUUGCUAUAGAGACGGUCUCCGAUCAUGAUAAACAUGGCGCUUAAUUAGUCCACUUCGGGAGUGAGACCAUCAGUUCGAUCCACCUGUUGUAUUGAAUAUCUUUGAGGAAAAUGAGAUUAGCAAAGUCGUGAGCCACGACAAAAAGUAUAUGUUAUAAUUAUUGAGAGAAAUAAUAAUAUUGUUGUCUGCGGUGCA